rnacentral:rRNA from 1 species
UACGGGGGGGGCAAGCGUUGUUCGGAAUUACUGGGCGUAAAGCGCGUGUAGGCGGCUCUUCAAGUCGAGUGUGAAAGCUCCAGGCUUAACCUGGGAACUGCGCUCGAUACUGUUGAGCUAGAGUGUGGAAGGGGCUACUGGAAUUCCGUGUGUAGCGGUGAAAUGCGUAGAGAUGGGGGAGAACACUCGUGGCGAAGGCGGCCAGCUAGACCAGUUCUGACACUGAGGCGCGACAGCGUGGGGAGCAAACAGG